GAUUGACCUCGGAUCAGGUUGGGAUACCCGCUGAACUUUAGCCAUCUCUUA
rnacentral:rRNA from 1 species